rnacentral:tRNA from 1 species
AGUGGUCUGAGCACCAGACUGCAACUCUGGAGACCAGGGUUCAAAUCCCUGCU